rnacentral:rRNA from 1 species
GAUGAACGCUGGCGGCGUGCCUAAUACAUGCAAGUCGAGCGAACGGACGAGAAGCUUGCUUCUCUGAUGUUAGCGGCGGACGGGUGAGUAACACGUGGAUAACCUACCUAUAAGACUGGGAUAACUUCGGGAAACCGUAGCUAAUACCGGAUAAUAUUUUGAACCGCAUGGUUCAAAAGUGAAGAAGGUCUUGCUGUCACUUAUAGAUGGAUCCGCGCUGCAUUAGCUAGUUGGUAAGGUAACGGCUUACCAAGGCAACGAUGCAUAGCCGACCUGAGAGGGUGAUCGGCCACACUGGAACUGAGACACGGUCCAGACUCCUACGGGAGGCAGCAGUAGGGAAUCUUCCGCAAUGGGCGAAAGCCUGACGGAGCAACGCCGCGUGAGUGAUGAAGGUCUUCGGAUCGUAAAACUCUGUUAUUAGGGAAGAACAUAUGUGUAAGUAACUGUGCACAUCUUGACGGUACCUAAUCAGAAAGCCACGGCUAACUACGUG